GCCUACGGGAGGCAGCAGUGGGGAAUAUUGCACAAUGGGGGGAACCCUGAUGCAGCGACGCCGCGUGGGUGAAGGAGCACCUCGGUGCGUAAAGCCCUAUCGGCAGGGAAGAAAAGCGAACAGGUUCGCCUGGACGGUACCUGACUAAGAAGCCCCGGCUAACUACGUGCCAGCAGCCGCGGUAAUACGUAGGGGGCGAGCGUUAUCCGGAUUCACUGGGUGUAAAGGGAGCGUAGACGGCCGUGCAAGCCAGGAGUGAAAGCCCGGGGCCCAACCCCCGGACUGCUCUUUGGACUGUGCGGCUG
rnacentral:rRNA from 1 species